rnacentral:misc_RNA from 1 species
UACGGAGGGGGUUAGCGUUGUUCGGAAUUACUGGGCGUAAAGCGCACGUAGGCGGACCGAAAAGUUGGGGGUGAAAUCCCAGGGCUCAACCCUGGAACUGCCUCCAAAACUGCCGGUCUAGAGUUCGAGAGAGGUGAGUGGAAUUCCGAGUGUAGAGGUGAAAUUCGUAGAUAUUCGGAGGAACACCAGUGGCGAAGGCGGCUCACUGGCUCGAUACUGACGCUGAGGUGCGAAAGUGUGGGGAGCAAACAGG